AACUCAUUUCAAACUU
rnacentral:rRNA from 1 species